GGCUUCGUGGUCUAGUGGUAAGGGCACUUGCUUCUCACCCUGGAGUCCCAGGUUCGAUCCAUGGUCGAGGAGA
rnacentral:tRNA from 1 species